AAUUUUGGACAAUGGGGGAAACCCUGAUCCAGCAAUGCCGCGUGCAGGAUGAAGGCCUUCGGGUUGUAAACUGCUUUUGUACGGAACGAAAAGUCUUGGGCUAAUACCCUGGGAUCAUGACGGUACCGUAAGAAUCAGCCCCGGGUAACUACGUGCCCGCCGCAGCGGGAAUACGUGGGGUGCAAGCGUUAAUCGGAAUUACUGGGCGUAAAGCGUGCGCAGGCGGUUUUGUAAGACAGUGGUGAAAUCCCCGGGCUCAACCUGGGAACUGCCAUUGUGACUGCAAGGCUGGAGUGCGGCAGAGGGGGAUGGAAUUCCGCGUGUAGCAGUGAAAUGCGUAGAUAUGCGGAGGAACACCGAUGGCGAAGGCAAUCCCCUGGGCCUGCACUGACGCUCAUGCACGAAAGCGUGGGGAGCAAACAGG
rnacentral:rRNA from 1 species